UUAAUUUUUGUAUAAGGUGUAAGGAAGGGAUCCAGUUUCCACUUUCUGCAUAUGGCUAGCCAGUUUUCCCAACACCAUUUAUUAAAUAAGGAAUCCUUUCCCCAUUCCUUGUUUUUGUCCAGAAUGUUUUUAGGACAGAGACAGGCAGCUCAUAUACGAAGAAAUAUGUAUGGCUUUUAAAAAAUGAUGAUUUCUUUGAAAACCCACUGAUUUCAAAGAAGCUUAAAGAAUAUUUAUCUCAGAUCUAUUGAGAUCUUAGUUAAUCUCUUCAGUAUUGGGAAGGUCUGUAAGAAAAAGAUCUUCCAGCUAUGUUAAUAGAGAUUCUUUACAGAUGCAGAUUUUUCCCCACAAAGAACGGCUUUGCAGGGCGAAUGUAAAUCAGUUUCCCAUGCCAAGAGUCUGGCAUGGGAGCUAGUAACACCAAAACCAAGGGGCCAGGAGCUCUCGGUCAUAUCUGUCAUGGCGAUGUCAGUGCUUUGCUCCCCAGAUGGUUGGGGUCAUAGCUUUAAGCAUUCUCUCCUGCAAAGUCUAGAGCUAGAUCUUCAGGCCUCACAAUGAUUCAAGAGCUACCCACUGUCCUUUCAGAAAACUUUUCUGCUUCAUUCAGCCAGAAUUAGCUUCUCUUGCUUAUGAUGAUACCUAUUUUAACUCUGGAGGUGGGGACUGGUGGGAGGUAAUCGGAUCACGGGGGCAGUUUCUCAUGAAUGAUUUAGCACCAUCCCACGAGUACUGUAUAGUGAUAGAGUUCUCAUGAGAUCUGGUUGCUUAAAGGUGUGUAGCACCUCCCUCUCUCUCUCUCACCCCUGAUGGGCUGCCUUGAUAUAUAGAGUUCAUUUGGCCUUACUGAGCACAUCCCAUGAGAUGGAACAUGAACUAUACUUGUUGCCAACAAGAGGCUGACUCAAACUUCCCUCAUGUUUGCCCCUUUUCCCUCACUUCUGUUUCCCUGGGAAUGUAACUCCCAAAACAGAUAGCAGCACAUAAGCCUUUCCUUUAGGCUCUGGCUUCUACGGGUGCAAAAGCGUCUCAUUGCAGAUGCAAAGUAUUCUUAUUAGAGCCUUUGCCUGGUCUCUAUGACAAGCUUCAAUUAUUUUUCCUAGAAAACUAGUAAUAGAUCUCAUGCCAAUUUGUAAGACUGCAUUUGCCAUAACUGUCGUUCAUACUAAAAAUUUCUUUUCUACUAUCUUUAGUUUUGUCUUAUGUGCAAAGAAAGAAUUAUUCAUUGGGGUUCAGGUUGUGAGAGUGAGGAGUAGAUGAAUGAACUGGUCAGCUCUCUCAAAUUCAGUG
rnacentral:lncRNA from 1 species